CAUAACUAUUACUCGAGGCGGUUAAACCAAAAUCACACAGAACAUGGGAGUACCUUGCUCCGAUACCAAUUGAAAAUGUGUUAUAUCGACUAGAGGGGGUGAAUAGGCGAUUUUUACAAUUUCAUCACUGAGGAAAUUCCUAGUGAGGAAAGUCCUCAGCCAUGAACUGAGUGCAGCGGAAAUAGUACAAAGUUAGAAGUGCAAAAACGUCUACAGCAAAGUACUCAACGUGAUUUCAGAGAUUCGGUUUGCACAGGUCACAAGUACACGAUAAGAAGGUGAAGAAUUUGAGGUGAGGAAUUCAGAGAAAGUCUUCAAUCAAUUUUUUCAAACAGUACAGAUGAAAGUCUUCAACAUGCAAUUGAGGAAAUGAGAGAGUUGAGGAAAUAGAAUCAGUAGCUCGAUGAAGACAGUUGUUGAUGACCCAGUUCCAACUGUUGUAACAGUUGUACGUCUGGUUUGGAGCGGCUUGGUAUUGAAACCAAAGGACACACAGUCCCUACCGUAUUCUC
rnacentral:lncRNA from 1 species